rnacentral:rRNA from 1 species
AGAGUUUGAUCAUGGCUCAGGAUGAACGCUAGCGGCAGGCCUAACACAUGCAAGUCGAGGGGUAAUCGCGCUUUCGGGCGCGAACGACCGGCGCACGGGUGAGUAACGCGUAUACAAUCUGCCUCAUAACGGGGAAUAGCCCAGGGAAACUUGGAUUAAUGCCCCAUGGGAUCGACCGGUCGCCUGACCGGUCGAUUAAACAUUUAUGGUUAUGAGAUGGGUAUGCGUCCCAUUAGCUAGUUGGCAGGGUAACGGCCUACCAAGGCAGCGAUGGGUAGGGGCCCUGAGAGGGGUGUCCCCCACACUGGUACUGAGACACGGACCAGACUCCUACGGGAGGCAGCAGUGAGGAAUAUUGGACAAUGGGCGGGAGCCUGAUCCAGCCAUGCCGCGUGCAGGAAGACGGCCCUACGGGUUGUAAACUGCUUUUGUACGGGAAGAACCCCACGCUUGCGAGCGUGGCUGACGGUACCGUAAGAAUAAGGAUCGGCUAACUCCGUGCCAGCAGCCGCGGUAAUACGGAGGAUCCGAGCGUUAUCCGGAAUCAUUGGGUUUAAAGGGUCCGUAGGCGGGGCGUUAAGUCAGUGGUGAAAGUCGGUAGCUCAACUAUCGAACUGCCGUUGAAACUGAUGUCCUUGAGUUGUUGUGAAGUGGUCGGAACGUGCAGUGUAGCGGUGAAAUGCAUAGAUAUUGCACAGAACACCAAUUGCGAAGGCAGAUCACUAACAACACACUGACGCUGAUGGACGAAAGCGUGGGUAGCGAACAGGAUUAGAUACCCUGGUAGUCCACGCCGUAAACGAUGGUCACUAGCUGUCCG